rnacentral:rRNA from 1 species
GGGGGGGGGGGGGGGGGGGGCGGGCGCGUGCGGGUCGGGGGAGGCCGGCGGGGCUGGUGGCGCACGGGUGCGUAACGCGUGGGAACCUGCCCUUAGGUUCGGAAUAACUCCCCGAAAGGGGUGCUAAUACCGGAUAAUGUCGUCGGACCAAAGAUUUAUCGCCUUUGGAUGGGCCCGCGUUGGAUUAGCUAGUUGGUAGGGUAAAAGCCUACCAAGGCGACGAUCCAUAGCUGGUCUGAGAGGAUGAUCAGCCACACUGGGACUGAGACACGGCCCAGACUCCUACGGGAGGCAGCAGUGGGGAAUAUUGGACAAUGGGCGAAAGCCUGAUCCAGCAAUGCCGCGUGAGUGAUGAAGGCCUUAGGGUUGUAAAGCUCUUUUACCCGGGAUGAUAAUGACAGUACCGGGAGAAUAAGCGCCGGCUAACUCCGUG